UAAUUAUCAAAUAGAAUAUA
rnacentral:miRNA from 1 species